rnacentral:misc_RNA from 1 species
AAAUCGUCCAGGUGAUCUUGAUUCUGCUGUAGCAGAUCGUAUUGAUGAAGUCCUGGAAUUCCCUUUGCCUGGGGAAGAGGAACGCUUCAAGCUGCUCAAACUCUAUUUGGACAAGUAUAUAGCUCAGGCCGGAUCAAGAAAAUCUGGUGGUUGGUUUCAAAAUUUGUUCAAAAAACAGCAGCAGAAGAUUGAGAUCAGGGGACUGACUGAUGACAUCUUAAAGGAAGCAGCAGCGAAAACUGAGGGAUUUUCUGGGAGAGAAAUAGCAAAAUUGAUGGCAAGUAUCCAAGCUGCAGUUUAUGGGAGUCAGAAUUGUGUACUUGAUCCAAGCCUGUUUCGUGAAGUGGUAGAUUAUAAAGUUGCAGAACAUCAACAGAGGAGUAAACUGGCAUCAAAAUCAGAUGGAAAAAGUGCUUAGUAGUAUCGCUUGAAUUAUACUUGUUCUAUUGGGUUGUUUGUAGGUAGGUGAGCAUAUACUUGGUAACCAUAAAAGCCACAUUCUUUUUGGUUCAGGGCAUCAUGUUGUUCUCAUUAUUUGCCCCUGCUGAUGGGGGAUUUUUGGAUUUUGCUUAUUCG